UGCAGUCGAGCGAACUGAUUAGAAGCUUGCUUCUAUGACGUUAGCGGCGGACGGGUGAGUAACACGUGGGCAACCUGCCUGUAAGACUGGGAUAACUUCGGGAAACCGAAGCUAAUACCGGAUAGGAUCUUCUCCUUCAUGGGAGAUGAUUGAAAGAUGGUUUCGGCUAUCACUUACAGAUGGGCCCGCGGUGCAUUAGCUAGUUGGUGAGGUAACGGCUCACCAAGGCAACGAUGCAUAGCCGACCUGAGAGGGUGAUCGGCCACACUGGGACUGAGACACGGCCCAGACUCCUACGGGAGGCAGCAGUAGGGAAUCUUCCGCAAUGGACGAAAGUCUGACGGAGCAACGCCGCGUGAGUGAUGAAGGCUUUCGGGUCGUAAAACUCUGUUGUUAGGGAAGAACAAGUACGAGAGUAACUGCUCGUACCUUGACGGUACCUAACCAGAAAGCCACGGCUAACUACGUGCCAGCAGCCGCGGUAAUACGUAGGUGGCAAGCGUUAUCCGGAAUUAUUGGGCGUAAAGCGCGCGCAGGCGGUUUCUUAAGUCUGAUGUGAAAGCCCACGGCUCAACCGUGGAGGGUCAUUGGAAACUGGGGAACUUGAGUGCAGAAGAGAAAAGCGGAAUUCCACGUGUAGCGGUGAAAUGCGUAGAGAUGUGGAGGAACACCAGUGGCGAAGGCGGCUUUUUGGUCUGUAACUGACGCUGAGG
rnacentral:rRNA from 2 species